AGCAGAAUUACCUGUUUUCUUUAACUCUUAGGGACAAUAAUAAUCUGUAUUUAUAGAGGAAGACUAUAUUCCCCUUACUCACCUUCAGCACAAGGGCUCAUGGCAGAGGUUGCACACACACUAAAGCAUAGGAGGAAUCCUGCCAGAGAAGGACCGUCUUUGCUCAGAUUAGCCCUGAGCUAACAUCUGCUGCCAAUCCUCCUCUUUUUUGCUGAGGAAGACUGGCCCUGAGCUAACAUCUGUGCCCAUCUUCCUCCACUUUAUAUGUGAGACGCCUGCCACAGCAUCGCGUGCCAAGCGGUGCCAUGUCCACACCCGGGAUCUGAACUGGCAAACCCCGGGCUGGCGAAGUGGAACGUGUGAACUUAAUCACUGCGCCACUGGGCUGGCCCCUAUUUCUUUUUCUUAGAAACCUGAAAUAUUUGAACUGCUUAAAGUAUUCCAUUUCAUAAAUAUAAAAUUUACAUUCCAG
rnacentral:lncRNA from 1 species